rnacentral:rRNA from 1 species
UACGGAGGGGGGCUAGCGUUGUUCGGAAUUACUGGGCGUAAAGCGCGCGUAGGCGGCUUUGUAAGUUAGAGGUGAAAGCCCGGAGCUCAACUCCGGAAUUGCCUUUAAGACUGCAUCGCUAGAAUCAUGGAGAGGUGAGUGGAAUUCCGAGUGUAGAGGUGAAAUUCGUAGAUAUCGGGAGGAACACCAGUGGCGAAGGCGACUACCUGGCCUGUUUCUUGACGCUGAGGCGCGAAAGCUAGGGGAGCAAACGGGG